UUAGUACUUUCUCCAUUCCGAAUUACUUGUUGUAGGUAUGGAUGUAUCUAGAUGUAUUUUAGUUCUAGAUGUAUCCAUUUCUGCGACGAGUAAUUUGGAACGGAGGGAGUACUGU
rnacentral:pre_miRNA from 1 species